UACGUAGGGGGCAAGCGUUGUCCGGAUUUAUUGGGCGUAAAGAGCGUGUAGGCGGCUAGGUAGGUCCGUUGUGAAAACUCGAGGCUCAACCUCGAGCUGUCGAUGGAAACCAUCUGGCUAGAGUCCGGAAGAGGAGAGUGGAACUGCGAGUGUAGAGGUGAAAUUCGUAGAUAUUCGCAAGAACACCAGUGGCGAAGGCGGCUCACUGGCCCGGUACUGACGCUGAGGUGCGAAAGCGUGGGGAGCAAACAGG
rnacentral:rRNA from 1 species